rnacentral:tRNA from 1 species
GAGGGUAUAGCUCAGUGGUAGAGUGUAUGCUUAGCAUGCAUGAGGUCCUGGGUUCAAUCCCCAGUACCUCCU